CGAAGCAGAAGUCUCCAGAGCCUUGGUGGGAGCUAUUGGUUGGGCAUGUCUGAGAAAAGAGAGAAGGAGAGAGUGGACAGGGGAGAGGGACCAUGGUGUUUCUCCAAGAAUGGGGUCACCAAGGGAAAAGGGUGUAUGUCUCCAGACACACAUGCUCUUUGGGCCUGCGUGAAGGCUUUUAUACCUGAGUUCUGAUGCCACUGAAAGACGUCACCAGACCUUCCCACUAGGCACCGUGGAGCAGCACACAGCAGCUGCGUCGUUCCUUACACCCACACAGCUCUGCUUGGAGUGCCAGACUGACUUCCCUCCCCUGCCUUAGGCAUAUGAUGCCUGGAGCAUCAAAAAUUCGUGUGAGCACAACAGGACUAAAAAAAAAAUUGGGAUUUUAACUUUAUCUUAGACAAACUGUCUAGGAAGGCGAGGUGCUCCUCAUAAGCUAGGGCAAGCUUAGCUCUGUCUGUCUCACUUAGAGGCAAUGAAGGGGAAACAAAUGGUCCUUGAUGAUCAUGGGCCAUUAAUAGACUGGAAACGAUGCAGGCCUGAACUGUCACCUAGCUGUAGCGAUCUGGUUAGUAACACGGACUGGACAUCAGGCUAACGGUAAAUAGGCCGUUUCUAAAGUGGCUGAGAAUUCCUAUUGCGGUGAGCCACAGAACAUUCCCCUGAAUGGACGACACUUUUACACUACCCAAAUAGGGCCAUGAACAUUCUGAAUCAUUUUAAUAAAGCAGCUCAACCACUCAGGUGGAGGAGAGUGAUUUUGCUGAGACCGUCUCAUCCUAUGUGUUGCCUCCCCAGAAGGCUCUGCUCCAUUACCUCAACCGGCCAGCCUGCACAGACCCGGGAUUUCGUCACUAGCAGCUAAGAUAACGGCACCAGGUGUUUGUCACUGGGGCAGGACUGCCUGCCCUUCAGACAGGUCAACCUUGAGGGUCUAAGCGAGAAGCCCUCUACCUAUUCAGCAAAAGGAAGAUGAAGACAGCAUCCCAGCUUCCCGCACACCUCUAAGAUGGAAGUCGGUCAAGCCAGAAGCAGACUCGUCUGAAAAGGUGACUUAACUUGUUAAACACUUUUGAUGAGGCGAGGACUUUGCUUCAAGGAAAAAAAAAUAAAACAGCCUGGAGCCUUUCCCCUAAAGUUACAGGGACCGGAGUCAUCGCAGGUCCCAGGCAGCACUGGCAGCCUGAGAAAGUGAUAUUUAUCACACUAGUGUCAGUAUUCCGCUACACAUAUAAAAUUGUUUCUAUGACUGGACAUAUACUAUGAAGAUAAUUAAUACCCUCCUGCCAAGCCCCCACAGCUCUGAUUUGAUGAUUCUGGUUAAUGUCUUAAGUGAUGUUCCAGAGUUUCUUCAGUAUGGACAAGCACAUUCAAAUGUAUUUUGUUUUCCUGUCUUAUGAAACAGGCAGCUUACUUUACAUGGCGGCUUCCUGUUUUCUGUAUACUGGGAGCCUCUGCUCCGCAGCAGGAUACCUGGAGGUAUCUGGACACUUUUUGCACUUUAAAGUUUUUGACAAAAUUCACUUGCUGUGGAUAUUGUUCUGUAUAAAUAAAACAUUGAUUGGCCAGUGGCCAGGCAGGAAGUAUAGGCGGGACAAGGAGAGAGGAGAAUUCUGGGAAGUGGAAGACUGAGAGAGACACUGCCAGCUGCCUCCAUGACAAGCAGCAUGUGAAGAUGCCGGUAAGCCACAAGACACGUGACAAGGUAUAGAUUUAUAGAAAUGGAUUAAUUUAAGAUAUAAGAACAGUUAGCAAGAAGCCUGCCACGGCCACACAGUUUGUAAGCAAUAUAAGUCUCUGUGUUUACUUGGUUGGGUCUGAGCCGCUGUGGGACUGGCGGGUGAGAGAGAUUUGUCCUGACUGUGGGCCAGGCAGGAAAACUCUAGCUACAUUCACUGUUGCCCAACUUGUGGUUCACAUAUAUUCAGCAUGUGCCUCUUACUCUUCCUCCAUCCUCAGUGGCUGCCAAAGCCUGCUGGAUCCACAGCACCCUGAGAACUCUUACGCCCUCCUGUCUUCCUUGCUGCACCUUAGUGAUGCAGCAGACUGAAGUCCCAACAUCCCUUGUCACUCUCUUGGGCUCCAAGAACAGGCUACCUCCCCCUGCCUCUUGAGGAAUACUGUCCACUAGCUCAGAAACUACAGAAGUGUUCAGCUCUGCCUUCCCAGAGGGGCGCCAGGUGCUUCAGAACUCAUUUUCUGCGUUGGUCCAGAUGAGUUAGAGGAAGGGCAGCACUCACAACUCCAGGUGCUGAUCUGGAUUCCAGGUUGCACAAUCUCUGUUCUGUUUGCCUGAUGCUCUGGACCUGUCACAGCCAACCUGGACCCAUUUCACAAGAACAGAGAGUGCUGUGCCUUUCCGAUCAUCACUGUGCCUCUGCUGGAUGGCAGAAAUCAAGCAGUCCUGGUACCUGGCUCUGUUAUUCUUCAGAGUCUCAGGGGAUAAGAGGAGGCUGCAAAGCUUUUGAAGAAAUGCAGAUUCCUGGGCUGUACCUGUACCCACCAGUCUGUUCCCCAGGAUCCUGGAGGGUCAUUGAGCACAUAGGUUUCUAAUUUAUCCAGUUGGCCCUAAUGGCUUCUAAGAAGGAAGAUAUCUGCUGUGUUUCCCAGCCUCCCAGCCUGUCAUGACUGAGAAAAUGAGUAGCGUUUUUGGAAAUAUGUAUAUUCUGGUAGUGUCUCAUUUUAGAAUAAGUGUGAAGGGAAUAAUCAUUUCUCAUGCUCUCUGGACUACAAUAGGGAUCUAUCCUAAGCAGCAUGGCACUUCGAAAUGAAAAAGAAAACAACCAGAGGACUGAAUAACCAAAGGAAAAGCACCCCAGCUUUCCUCUGAAAACCAUGGGAUGUGACAGAGUUGGGUGUCUUGUUAGAAAUUUAAGUUCAAGUGCAGCUGACUCUCUGAUCACACUGCUCUGCUGGGUCCUGGAAGUGCCUCUCCAUCUCUGACAGUUCCUCACUGCAUUGGGUGAUUUUAGGACUUGCUGUGAUUGGUAUAGGACUGGUAACACCAAGGCUUUCAUGGCUAUGCAGGGCUGCUGGAGAACCAACUGUUUUUGUUGAAGGCCAUGGGGAAGGCUGAGUGUGUGAUAAAAGCUGCAGGGACCGUGGAACAAUGCCUCACCAGAGAUAUAAAAAUGGAGGAGAUGAUAGGCAGCUGAUAUAUCUCUGCUAUGGGGCAAUUUUUGGUGAAUUACGAGUUUGCAGGUUAUGGGGAAGAAGAGAUGACUCAGUGGCUCAGAAUGCCCACCAUUCUUGCAGAGGACCUGAGUGUGGCAGCUCACAACUGGAAGCAACUCUAGCUCCUGGGAGAUCUGAUAUUUUCUUCUGGCCUAUGAGAGCACAUGUAUAUACUCAUUCCCCGCCCCCCCCCCACAAGUACAAAUAAUUUUUUAAAAAGAGUAUACAGAAUAAUUGAUAAAAUGGUCAUAGUUAAAACACCUUUUAUUCACAUCUCAUGAAAUUUGACUUUGCAACUCUCCCUAUACAGAGGUAGAAUCUAUGUGUUUCCCUCUUGAAUUAGGGCUGAUCUUGUGCUUAACUCUGGCCAACAGAAUGUGACUGAGAUGCUGAAGGCCAGAGCAAGCCUAGGCCUCCAAAGUCCUUGCAUGUCAUUCACUCUCCCAGAAUCCAGCUUCCGACAGUGACAGGUGUCUGAGUAAGCUUGAAGAGGAUUAGAGACCCUGGCUAGCAGAGCCACAUCAGGCCAUUCUCUUCAAUAGGGACUACUGACUGAGAACAACAGACAGAGAAGUUACUGUGUAAGAAGAAAACCCACAGAACGAGCUUCCUUUUCAUGGAAUGAAACAGGGUGGGAUGACAGUUGGUGAAACGCUGGGUGCUGCAUCACUCUGAUCUGCUGUCACUCUGGGGGAAGGCAGGAACCCCGCUGCCUUCAUCAGUGCUAGCUCUGCAUCAUGGGAGUGAGGCUGAAGAAGCAAAACGAAGUCUUUUCCUUCCUCAUCUUAGAGCAAGAAAUUACUCAUCACUGCCCAGGGAACACUGGCUUGGAGUUUUUCUUUCAUUAAAAAGCCACUCAUUUUUGCUAAUAAAUCACAUGGCAUGGGUGUAGGAAAAGAAACCAGCUCAAAUGAAAUGCCCUCCACUGAAGAGUUAACAGUUAGUCAUUAUCAAGACACAUUGGAACAACCAGAAGUGACUGCAAUGCUUAGUGGCCAGAGAGUGUUUUCACAGUGUGUUCAACUUUGGGAAAGUCCAUCUGGGUUCUCAGAAUGCCUUCUGAAACAUUAUCCCUCUUGCCCUGUCUGUAGUUCCGGGUUUCCUAAUUAUGAUGCUGAUUAUUACUUGUGUGAUUUCGGGGUGGGGGGAGAACAGGGGAGAAUAAGGUUGAUUGUUAAGGUGCUGAGAACCUGAGGAUGAAGACUGGAGGAGAGUUCCUCUCACACAGCAUCAAGACCUCUUGACAUACCAUGGUGAGGCCACCUGGGCCCUGUUACUGGAUACCUUAGAGGUGGGGAUGCAGCUGCCUACUGAGGGGACAGCCCUGCUGGGAUGACCCGGAAAAGUAUCUGAUUUCACCAUUGUUCUUUCUGGGCCUGUCAUGAAGCCAAGCAUUGUGGAAGUUUCUAUUGAAUGAGAUAAUAAAACCGGCUUAAACAGUU